GCCCCCGUAGCUCAGUUGGAUAGAGCAUCUCACUCCUAACGAGAAGGUCGACAGUUCAAAUCUGUCCGGGGGUA
rnacentral:tRNA from 1 species